rnacentral:rRNA from 1 species
CCUCUUCGCUGGGAGGGUCAGACGGGUGAGUAGCGCGUGGGAAUCUACCUAGUGGUGGAGGAUAACUUCGGGAAACCGGAGCUAAUACUCCAUAAGCCCUUCGGCGGAAAGUGUUUUCGCCAUUAGAUGAGCCCGCGUUAUAUUAGCUUGUUGGUAGGCUAAUGGCCUACCAAGGGGACGAUCUAUAGCUGGUCUGAGAGGAUGAUCAGCCACACUGGAACUGAAACACGAUCCAGACUCCUACGGGAGGCAGCAGUGGGGAAUAUUGCACAAUGGGCGCAAGCCUGAUGCAGCCAUGCCGCGUGUGUGAUGAAGGCCUUAGGGUUGUAAAACACUUUCAUCGCUGAAGAUAAUGACGGUAGCCGAAGAAGAAGCCCCGGCUAACUCCGUGCCAGCAGCCGCGGUAAUACGGAGGGGGCAAGCGUUGCUCGGAAUUACUGGGCGUAAAGCGCACGUAGGCGGACUGAUCAGAUGGGGGUGAAAUCCCGAGGCUUAACCUCGGAACUGCCUUCAAUACUGUCAGUCUUGAGAUCGGAACAGGUGAGUGCAAUUCCUAGUGUAGAGGUGAGAUUCGUAGAUAUUAGGAAGAACACCAGUGGCGAAGGCGGCUCACUGG